rnacentral:rRNA from 1 species
UACAGAGGGUGCAAACGUUGUUCGGAAUUACUGGGCGUAAAGCGUGUGUAGGCGGCCUCGUAGGUCGGAUGUGAAAGCUCUCGGCUCAACCGGGAAAGUGCAUUCGAAACCACAAGGCUUGAGUGUCGGAGAGGAGGGCGGAAUUGUCGGUGUAGAGGUGAAAUUCGUAGAUAUCGACAGGAACACCUGCGGCGAAAGGCGGCCCUCUGGACGAACACUGACGCUGAGACACGAAAGCGUGGGGAGCAACAGGA